rnacentral:lncRNA from 1 species
AUCUCACCAAAAUACAGAUUCAGACAAGCAUCACAACUGAAACAGAAACAACAGAUCAGUUUAAGCAUUAAGAAACAUCAGCAAUAUAAAUGAAACCCAAUCUUUAACAAGUAAUUUGUUAUUGGAGACAUUCCUUCAACAAAUUUCAGAUUGAAAGAACGUUUAUGAAAGGAAAAGAAUAAAAAAAAGAAUGAAAACUUCCCUUUACUUUUGAACACGAAACAUGUAAACUGAUUUUUUCUACAUGAUUUCUGAAACGAGAAAUAAAGUUGAGAAUACCAUAAAGUCCUUAUAUUCCCAAAAUCCCAGACGAGAAGAAGAAAAACUCCACAUGCUUAAAGACACAACUUCAAAUCAUCACCUCAUAAAAAAAACUCACGAUUUUGAAAAAUAUAACAGAUAUUAGAUUUUGCACAAAUGUAAAAUGACGCAGCAUA